CUUUUUUGUUUAUUCAUUGGGCCUUAUAGAUUCCAGUGAAAUAAUGUGCGUGACAUAGAUGGACAUGUGUGCACUUGUCGUGAUACAGUAGAGAAGAAAUUUCACUUGGUUUAUUUUUAGGUCGGAGUUGGCCGGUGGUGGCUACAGAAGCCUCAUUUGAGUUUUCAGCUAACAUUACUAACUAAAGUGGUGGGCAAGCACAGACAUAACAUUGUUUUCAUGUGCUCCUAUCGUGUACCGGAUUGAAUGUCGUGAACGUUGUGAGCGCAUGCACACAGUGUCGGGGUUCAGAAGACGAGACGGACACUGAGAGGCAAAGCACAGUAGCGAUCAGCUCAGUGUCCGGUUUGCCGGUGUCGCAACACCAGUUAUACAAACUCUAGUUAACAGAUGCUUCUGAAUUCGUCACAUACAGCCGUUAUCUUGUUCGUUGAGCUUUGAAAAGGUGAAUGAUGAGUUCUUGAGGAUCACCACAAAGCCGUUGCAAUCGAAGUUCCUGGCCCAGCUGGACCACUUCUCAGAAGCUUCUCUAAAUAUUCCAAAACAGAGGAGUGAAGGGACAGAAGAUAAAGAACAUCCUGGCAAUAAAAGAUGCGUGUGACGACAUCAACAUCAGGAGGGAGUGUAUCCUCAAAAGCCUUGUUGUCUACCUCAGUGGGGAUCCAAACUCUCUCUUCAAGGAGUACCUUCCCUCUGUUGCUGAGGAUGCUGAGAAUGACACUACAGUUAUGGGCAUUUACACGUUCUGAAGAAAUGAGUUUGGUGAGCCUGACGACGUGGGGGUUGUCAUUGAAGGUGUGAAAGUCCUCUCCAUUGUGGAAAAUGUCAUACUGGCUUUCAUCUUACUGUUUGGGCUAAUCUAUGCUCUAGUUCUCGGUUACCCAGACAACCUGAAAUACACAUUUGAGUUUGUGCAGAAAAUCCUUAUGAAUCUGAAUGGACACAAGGUUAACACCAAAAUACAGCAACUGAAAAUCAAGCUGUUCAUGUAAAAGGAGACACAGGUGACAAAUGACAGUGGGACUGGGAAUUUAUUGUUGUUUUGUUUUUGUUUUUAUCUGAACUGAACCUGGGGUCCGUUUCACAAAGCAGGUUUAGUGAAAAC